rnacentral:rRNA from 2 species
UGGGGAAUAUUGGACAAUGGGCGCAAGCCUGAUCCAGCCAUGCCGCGUGUGUGAAGAAGGCCUUUUGGUUGUAAAGCACUUUAAGCGAGGAGGAGGCUACUUGGAUUAAUACUCUAGGAUAGUGGACGUUACUCGCAGAAUAAGCACCGGCUAACUCUGUGCCAGCAGCCGCGGUAAUACAGAGGGUGCGAGCGUUAAUCGGAUUUACUGGGCGUAAAGCGUGCGUAGGCGGCUUCUUAAGUCGGAUGUGAAAUCCCUGAGCUUAACUUAGGAAUUGCAGUCGAUACUGGGAAGCUAGAGUAUGGGAGAGGAUGGUAGAAUUCCAGGUGUAGCGGUGAAAUGCGUAGAGAUCUGGAGGAAUACCGAUGGCGAAGGCAGCCAUCUGGCCUAAUACUGACGCUGAGGUACGAAAGCAUGGGGAGCAAACAGG